rnacentral:misc_RNA from 1 species
GAUGAAGAACGUAGCAAAAUGCGAUACUUGGUGUGAAUUGCAGAAUCCCGUGAACCAUCGAGUCUUUGAACGCAAGUUGCGCCCGAAGCCAUUAGGCCGAGGGCACGCCUGCCUGGGCGUCACACGUCGUUGCCCCCCCAUCUACUCCUUCGGGAUUGCGGGGGGCGGAUGAUGGCCUCCCGUGCGCCUUGUCGCGCGGUUGGCAUAAAUGCCAAGUCCUCGGCGACGCACGCCACGACAAUCGGUGGUUGCGAAACCUCGGUUGCCCGUCGUGUGCGGUCGUCGCGCAUCGAGGGCUCGAAAAAAUUGUCGGGCUCCGGCUCGGCUUUCAACGCGACCCCAGGUCAGGCGGGGUUACCCGCUGAAUUUAAGCAUAUCAAUAAGCGGAGGA